AGCGGAAACGAGUUAUCUGAACCUUCGGGGAACGAUAACGGCGUCGAGCGGCGGACGGGUGAGUAAUGCCUGGGAAAUUGCCCUGAUGUGGGGGAUAACUAUUGGAAACGAUAGCUAAUACCGCAUAAUGUCUACGGACCAAAGAGGGGGACCUUCGGGCCUCUCGCUUCAGGAUAUGCCCAGGUGGGAUUAGCUAGUUGGUGAGGUAAUGGCUCACCAAGGCGACGAUCCCUAGCUGGUCUGAGAGGAUGAUCAGCCACACUGGAACUGAGACACGGUCCAGACUCCUACGGGAGGCAGCAGUGGGGAAUAUUGCACAAUGGGCGCAAGCCUGAUGCAGCCAUGCCGCGUGUAUGAAGAAGGCCUUCGGGUUGUAAAGUACUUUCAGUCGUGAGGAAGGCAUAUAGUUAAUAGCUAUAU
rnacentral:rRNA from 1 species